GACGAACGCUGGCGGCGUGCUUAACACAUGCAAGUCGAACGAAGAGCGAUGGAUGCUUGCUUCUAUCAAUCUUAGUGGCGAACGGGUGAGUAACGCGUAAUCAACCUGCCCUUCAGAGGGGGACAACAGUUGGAAACGACUGCUAAUACCGCAUACGAUCUAAUCUCGGCAUCGAGGAUAGAUGAAAGGUGGCCUCUACAUGUAAGCUAUCACUGAAGGUGGGGAUUGCGUCUGAUUAGCUAGUUGGAGGGGUAACGGCCCACCAAGGCGAUGAUCAGUAGCCGGUCUGAGAGGGUGAACGGCCACAUUGGGACUGAGACACGGCCCAGACUCCUACGGGGAGCAGCAGUGGGGAAUCUUCCGCCAUGGACGAAAGUCUGGCGGAGCAACGCCGCGUGAGUGAUGACGGCCUUCGGGUUGUAAAGCUCUGUUAAUCGGGACGAAAGGCCUUCUUGCGAAUAGUGAGAAGGAUUGACGGUACCGGAAUAGAAAGCCACGGCUAACUACGUG
rnacentral:rRNA from 1 species